rnacentral:rRNA from 1 species
GAUGAACGCUAGCUACAGGCUUAACACAUGCAAGUCGAGGGGCAGCAUGAACUUAGCUUGCUAAGUUUGAUGGCGACCGGCGCACGGGUGAGUAACACGUAUCCAACCUGCCGAUAACUCGGGGAUAGCCUUUCGAAAGAAAGAUUAAUAUCCGAUAGCAUAUCAAGAUCGCAUGAUCUUGAUAUUAAAGAAUUUCGGUUAUCGAUGGGGAUGCGUUCCAUUAGUUAGUUGGCGGGGUAACGGCCCACCAAGACGACGAUGGAUAGGGGUUCUGAGAGGAAGGUCCCCCACAUUGGAACUGAGACACGGUCCAA